ensembl:snoRNA SNORA75 Small nucleolar RNA SNORA75
UGCUUCUCAUGAGCUCCUCUGUCAAACCAAUGGCGGCGUAUGGAUUCCCACGAGAAGUAGAGUGAAAUUCACAGUUAAACAGGUGUUUCCACUAUAUUGGGACACACCCAUGUCUGAUGUGAGACAUUC